ACCACAACUACUAUUCGUCAGUCGUCACCUUGCGUAAUCUACUUUAUAAAUUACUUAUAGAUCUCUGAACCCAUAUUCUAGCUGACACAUCAUGCCAAGAGAACAGGGAGAGAAAACGACCGCAUUCCCCGGCAAGGAAGAACGUUAUUUGUGCUGGAAUUCCAGAGAUGAAUUUUUUGGAAAUGCAUCGAUUCUGGUGGAACGGCCGAGAGCUGCAAGGAGCUAAGGAAACUGUACGAAGAACAUUGCCAUCGACUUGGGUCAAACACUUUGACAGGAAGCACAAAUACGAGAAGUUCAAGGAACUGAUGAAGGAAGGUUAUGAACCUUUAAACGACAAAGAGAAGAGUUGAUAGAUUUCCGAGUGGU